rnacentral:rRNA from 1 species
UGAGCAAUCUGCCCUUCUCUUCGGAAUAAGCGUUGGAAACGACGUCUAAUGCCGAAUACGACCUCCUUUCGCAUGAUCGGAGGUGGAAAGCUCCGGCGGAGAAGGAUGAGCUCGCGGCCUAUCAGCUAGUUGGUGUGGGUAAUGGCCCACCAAGGCGACGACGGGUAGCCGGCCUGAGAGGGUGACCCGGCCACACUGGGACUGAGACACGGCCCAGACCUCCCGUACGGGAGGNAGCG